CCUCGGCCAGGCGACCUUCCUCUGCCUGGGCGGCCUCCUUCCUAGCAUUGUUUAUCACCUCGAUGUUGGUGAUGAGCUGGUGUCCAAUCUGCAAGAGCGGCCAGGGAGUCAAUAUAAAAGCUGAGGAAUAAGCUAAGUAAAGAGGCAAGAAGAAGAAAGGAGUAAAUUGACCUACCUCAAGAAAGGACCCCAGAGAGUCCCAGACCCGCUGCUCAGGAUCGACGUGAACGAUCCUGUGGACGACCU
rnacentral:lncRNA from 1 species